CAGCCAACAUGGUGAAACCCCAUCUCUGCUAAAAAUACAAAAAUUAGCCAGGCAUGGUGGCGUUCCUGUAAUCCCAGCUACUCGGGAGGCUGAGGCAGAAGAAUAGCUUGAGCCCAGGAGGUGGAGGUUGCAGUGAGCUGAGAUCACACCACUGUAAUCCAGCUUGGGUGACAGAGCAAGACUGUCUCAAAAAAAAAAAAAAAAACACAAAACAAACAAACAAAAAAACAGGCUUUGAGCCAGUUCUCCUGUUUUCUAUUCUACAUUUCACCUCUCCUCUGCAGUACCUGCCACCUCCAGGUUCCAUCUCUUUGGG
rnacentral:lncRNA from 1 species